UCAGGAUGAACGCUGGCGGCGUGCCUAACACAUGCAAGUCGAGCGGUAUAUACUGGAAUGAAACUUCGGUCGAAUGAAGGUAUAGAGAGCGGCGGACGGGUGAGUAACGCGUAGGCAACCUGCCCCAUACAGAGGAUAGCCUCGGGAAACCGGGAUUAAAACCUCAUAAUGCGAGAGAUUCUCAUGAGUUUUUCGCCAAAGAUUUAUCGGUAUGGGAUGGGCCUGCGUCUGAUUAGCUAGUUGGUGAGGUAACGGCUCACCAAGGCAACGAUCAGUAGCCGACCUGAGAGGGUAAUCGGCCACAUUGGAACUGAGACACGGUCCAAACUCCUACGGGAGGCAGCAGUGGGGAAUAUUGCACAAUGGGCGAAAGCCCUGAUGCAGCAACGCCGCGUGAGCGAAGAAGGCCUUUGGGUCGUAAAGCUCUGUCCUAGGGGAAGAAAAAAUGACGGUACCCUUGGAGGAAGCCCCGGCUAACUACGUGCCAGCCGCCGC
rnacentral:rRNA from 1 species